UUAGUGAAGUCGGCCCGCUCCUCAAUUUGGCGCAUGGAUCGAAGCGGGUCGAUCCUAAAAGGAAAAGGGUCAAAAGGAUCACGAACCUAUCGAUCUGUGGUGCCCCUAGGGUCGGACCUCCUCGGCCGUGACGCUAUCACCGCGCAGCGGCGGCGGCGGCGGCGGCGGCGGCGGAGCCGGUGAGGAGGGCCUGGCAGCGGCGCCCUUUCUAUUGGCCGGAAAGGAUCUGGUCAGCCUUGGUGGCGCGGAUGGAGGUGAGAUUGUUGCCGGAGCCGGCGGCGGUCGGGGAGGAGUCGGCGGAGCUCCCGCUGGAGGCGCAGGUGGAGCAGCGAAGGAGGUCGACCUCGGACAGGGUGGUCCUGCCUUCAUCCCAUUCACCCCCCAAAUACCACACUUCGCCACCACGACGAGCACCAUCGAGGCCCGAAUCACACCCCUCUCCCUCCUUAUGCUGAUCUUUGAAUAGAGGUACAGUUCCAUGAAGAUCGAUAAGAUUCCAGAGUGAACUAUAAGCAACUAGGAAACCUGGAGCAAUCGGCAAAGUGGAGCAAGAAGCAAGUAAUACUAAAGAAGCAAACUCAAAUUGGGAUCUCAAGGCUUUUGGCGUUUUCUACCUACGAGUCCAAAAAUAUUAUGUCGAUGUGUUGGUUUGGAGUCUAACAUUGUUCUGUAAAUGUUAAUGUUAUAUAUUCAUGCUACUCAAGUAGUGUUUCCAGUUCACACAUAAAUUAGAAUACAAAGUCAGAUAUGUAGGUACCUUAAUAAGUUUAUUUGUUUUUCAUGUUGUACCCAUUUCAAUAAUCAGUACGUAUUUGCUUGAAAGUA